rnacentral:rRNA from 1 species
UACGUAGGUGGCAAGCGUUGUUCGGAAUUACUGGGCGUAAAGCGCGUGUAGGCGGCUCUUCAAGUCAGACGUGAAAGCCCCGGGCUUAACUCGGGAACUGCGUUUGAUACUGUCGAGCUAGAGUGUGGAAGGGGCGAUUGGAAUUCCGUGUGUAGCGGUGAAAUGCGUAGAUAUACGGAGGAACACCAGAGGCGAAGGCGGAUCGCUGGGCCAACACUGACACUGAGGCACGAAAGCCAAGGGAGCAAACAGG